rnacentral:ncRNA from 2 species
AGUUGGAAAGGGAGCAAUGAAGUAUUUCUUGUAAUCUGGGCACUUAAGAAAUACGGAGCGAGUAGUGCAACCGACCUUUCUUUAA